rnacentral:rRNA from 1 species
UACGGAGGGUGCAAGCGUUAUCCGGAUUCACUGGGUUUAAAGGGUGCGUAGGUGGGCUGGUAAGUCAGUGGUGAAAUCUCCGAGCUUAACUCGGAAACUGCCAUUGAUACUAUCAGUCUUGAAUUUUCUGGAGGUAAGCGGAAUAUGUCAUGUAGCGGUGAAAUGCUUAGAUAUGACAUAGAACACCCAUUGCGAAGGCAGCUUACUACGGGAUAAUUGACACUGAGGCACGAAAGCGUGGGGAGCAAACAGG